GGCUCAGGAUGAACGCUGGCUGUGUGCCUAAUACAUGCAUGUCGAGCGGAGUUCUUCGGAACUUAGCGGCGAAUGGGUGAGUAACACGUACUUAACGUGCCCUCUAGAUUGGGAUAACGAUGAGAAAUUAUCGCUAAUACCGGAUACUUAUUAGUUUGGCAUCAAACUAAUAUAAAAGGAGCGUUUGCUUCACUAGAGGAUCGGGGUGCGGAACAUUAGUUUGUUGGUAAGGUAAUGGCUUACCAAGACGAUGAUGUUUAGCGGGGUUGAGAGACUGAUCCGCCACACUGGGACUGAGAUACGGCCCAGACUCCUACGGGAGGCAGCAGUAGGGAAUUUUCCACAAUGGACGAAAGUCUGAUGGAGCGACACAGCGUGCAGGAAGACGGCCUUCGGGUUGUAAACUGCUGUUAUAAGGGAAGAAAAAGCAGUAGAGGAAAUGCUAUUGCCUUGACGGUACCUUGUCAGAAAGCAACGGCUAACUAUGUGCCAGCAGCCGCGGUAAUACAUAGGUUGCAAGCGUUAUCCGGAAUUAUUGGGCGUAAAGCGUCUGUAGGUUGUGUGUUAAGUCUGGCGUUAAAACUUGGGGCUCAACCCCAAAUUGCGUUGGAUACUGGCACGCUAGAAUUGUGUAGAGGUUAGCGGAAUUCCUAGUGAAGCGGUGAAAUGCGUAGAUAUUAGGAAGAACACCAACAUGGCGAAGGCAGCUAACUGGGCACAUAUUGACACUGAGAGACGAAAGCGUGGGGAGCAAACAGGAUUAGAUACCCUGGUAGUCCACGCUGUAAACGAUGAUGAUUAGCUGAUAGAGAACUAUCGGCGCAGCUAACGCAUUAAAUCAUCCGCCUGAGUAGUAUGCUCGCAAGAGUGAAACUUAAAGGAAUUGACGGGGACCCGCACAAGCGGUGGAGCAUGUGGUUUAAUUUGAAGAUACGCGUAGAACCUUACCCACUCUUGACAUCUUCCGCAAUGCUAUAGAGAUAUAGCGGAGGCUAACGGAAUGACAGAUGGUGCAUGGUUGUCGUCAGCUCGUGUCGUGAGAUGUUCGGUUAAGUCCUGCAACGAGCGCAACCCUUAUCCUUAGUUAAAUGUUCUAGGGAGACUGCCCGAGUAAUUGGGAGGAAGGUGGGGACGACGUCAAAUCAUCAUGCCUCUUACGAGUGGGGCAACACACGUGCUACAAUGGAUAGUACAAAGAGAAGCAAUACGGUGACGUGGAGCAAAUCUCAAAAAACUAUUCUCAGUUCGGAUUGUAGUCUGCAACUCGACUACAUGAAGUCGGAAUCGCUAGUAAUCGUAGAUCAGCUACGCUACGGUGAAUACGUUCUCGGGUCUUGUACACACCGCCCGUCACACCAUGGGAGCUGGUAAUGCCCGAAGUCGGUUUUGUUAACUACGGAGACAACUGCCUAAGGCAGGGCCGGUGACUGGGGUGAAGUCGUAACAAGGUAUCCCUACGAGAACGUGGGGAUGGAUUACCUCCUUUCUACGGAGUACAUAAGUUACAAUUCAUUUUAGUAACAAUUACUAACUUUUAAGACCAUUUUUAUUUAUUAAUAUUUGAGUCAUGGCUUUCUUUAAUGGUCAGAAAGAUUUAUAUAUCUAGUUUUGAGAGAACUUCUCUCAAUUGUUCUUUGAAAACUGAAUAGUAAAGAUAAAUUAAUAUAACAACGACAUCAAUAAAAAUAAAUUAGUCAAUUUGUUUUGUGAUACCGAGUAAUUAUUUUAAAUAAUAAUUUAUUAAAAUGUCUUUGAAUACAUCAACAAUAGGAAAAUAUUGAACUUUUAAAUAAGUAAGAGUGAGUUGUGGAUGCCUUGGGUCUGGAAGUCGAUGAAGGACGUGAUUACCUGCGAUAAGCCUCGUGGAGCUGGAUAUAAGCUACGAUACGGGGAUUUCCGAAUGGGGAAACCUAAUUAGAGUAAUAUCUAAUUGCAUUAGAAUGAAUACAUAGUUCUAAUGACGAGACACGUUGUGAACUGAAACAUCUUAGUAGCAACAGGAAGAGAAAAUAAACAAUGAUUCCAUUAGUAGCGGCGAGCGAACUUGGAAGAGCCCAAACCAACAUUUAUGUUGGGGUUGUAGGACUAUCUACAUGAAGUUACAAAAUUUUGUUAUAGCAGAAAAAGUUGGGAAACUUUAGCAUAGAGGGUGAUACUCCCGUAUGCGAAAUGGCAAAAUCUUCUGAUAGUAUCCUGAGUAGGGCGGGGCACGUGAAACCCUGUCUGAAUCUGCCGGGACCAUCCGGUAAGGCUAAAUACUAACCAGACACCGAUAGUGAACUAGUACCGUGAGGGAAAGGUGAAAAG
rnacentral:rRNA from 1 species